UUGGCUGCGAGAUAGAUUAUUUGCAUAUGGGGCGGGAUAACUGGACCCGAUUGGGGCCCGACUUGGGUGUGAGAGUGGCCGCCGCCGCCACUGAAGUUGGUCCAAGAGCUGGCGAUGGCUCUGCUCCGGGGUCGCAGGGCUCCAGGCAAGCGGUCCCCGGAACGGCCACUGUCGAAAUCAUCAAGCCCAGGGAAUCUCUGGGCAGGCAGAGGUGUGAACGUCGGCCAACAGGACCAGAGCCUACAGGACCCACCUCCUGAGGGCCACCUCUGGAACCUCCUCCAGGAAGGCAGCGGCAGCUUGAGUGCUUUUGCCUGUUUUUGCCACUUUCAGUGAGGGAGUCAGUGCCAUGGAUCUCUGUGGGCUCCUGGGACAGCCCUCUCCCAGGGACACUCCUGCUAGGUAUGCUAGCAAAAUAUCUCAAGCCCACCUGAAAGUGGAAAAGGGUACCCAGGGAAGCUGUAGGCUACCGGGCCAGGACAUCUGUAGCCAGUCCAGUCCUGGAGAUGGAAGGGCAGGCUUAGUGCAGACCUCUCUAGAUUGACACUAGUCUUCGAAGGAAACCCUGUUUUGUCACCAUGGUGGCAUCAGACUCAGUGUUCUGCACAUGGGAAGGCUUAUGUGGUCUCUUCGAGACUGCAAAGCUGACUCUCAUUGCUGGACAGCUACUUCCUGGGGAGAUCCUUUGAACUAGGGUUCUUUCUUCCACUUCUGUGCUGGAAAUGAACAAAGCCACUGAGACUAGGAGGGGCCCUAGCAGAGCCUGGCCCUGACCUCUGGAUGGAUUGCCCACCCCAUACUGAUAGCUGGCAAGGUCCUAACAUCACCUGUGUAGGGUAGCUCACUUAGCCAGGUCCUGCCCUGCCACGGACCAGACGUGUGAACAGCUUGUCUGUUCCUCACCUUAGCAUGUUUUACACCAUUGUUUGUUUCCAAUGUAAAGUUGUAAAUUCCAAAGUAAACUUUCCGUUAACUCAAA